UACGGAGGGUGCAAGCGUUAUCCGGAUUCACUGGGUUUAAAGGGUGCGUAGGCGGACAAGUAAGUCAGUGGUGAAAUCUCUGGGCUUAACUCAGAAACUGCCGUUGAUACUAUUUGUCUUGAAUAUCUUGGAGGUAAGCGGAAUAUGUCAUGUAGCGGUGAAAUGCUUAGAUAUGACAUAGAACACCGAUAGCGAAGGCAGCUUACUACAUGUUAAUUGACGCUGAGGCACGAAAGCGUGGGGAGCAAACAGG
rnacentral:rRNA from 1 species